UACGUAGGGACCAAGCGUUGUUCGGAUUUACUGGGCGUAAAGGGCGCGUAGGCGGCGUGGUAAGUCAAUUGUGAAAUCUCCGAGCUUAACUCGGAACGGUCAGUUGAUACUGUUGUGCUAGAGUGCAGAAGGGGCAAUCGGAAUUCUUGGUGUAGCGGUGAAAUGCGUAGAUAUCAAGAGGAACACCUGAGGUGAAGACGGGUUGCUGGGCUGACACUGACGCUGAGGCGCGAAAGCUAGGGUAGCAAACGGG
rnacentral:rRNA from 1 species